AUAAACGAUUUUUCUUGUUGCAGGGGAUUGCAGUGGCAAAGCUAGGCUAGGUCUUGGAGGCUGGUGUAAGGCGAUGUGGGUGAAGGCAGGAGGCUGAUGGAAAGACUGGGGGGAAGAAAAGCCGAAAUGGAUUCACGGUGCCUUGGAUGAAGGACGAGAGGGGAACUGCAAGCUCCUUCAACUGGUUCUGUCCGGUGAGAAGUGAUCAAGCUUGGGCUGACAAGAGGCUCAGGGAGCCCUCACGUUCUUUCGCUUUUUUACCUGCCAAUCAAACUGCUACAAGACAACACCCUGAUCUGGCAUGGACAUUCUCAAUACCUUCACAGAGGUGAAGAAGCAGCAACCAAAUGAAUUAGACAGCAACAUGAUUCCUAGAGAAUGGCAAGACCAAUUCUUCAACUACUUCUUCAGCAUUUCUGAAACAUAUGGAAGAUGGCCCAUUGUGCUCUCUUAAUUCUUUGAUAAUCUGGACAUUGACUUUUCCAUUAUAUGACCUGGGCUUGUGGGCAUCAUGUCAUAAUGCACCUGUUCAGACAUCUCCCUGUACCAAUAUGGAUCACUUGAAGAGACUCCUUUGCCCCCAUCAAAAAGGAUACAGUUGUGUAUCUCUUCCAUUUUUGUUUACAGUGCCUAAAAUUAUUUGAGCAGUUUUUCACCUCUUCUCUGAUAAACACCUUAUUAGUCCUUAAAAAGAAAAGAAAAAAGGAAAAUAAAACUUUUAUUGAGAUCCUAA
rnacentral:lncRNA from 1 species